CCAGGAAGUUAUCAGGACAUCUACUGCUGGUAAGAUUGAAACAGCAAAGUGGGACAACCCCUUUAAUGGCCAGAAGAGACUUGUCCAUAAGUCGGGAGGUGAUGGACUUGAGGGGAUGACCCUAUUGGGAGAUCUAUGAAUCGACCGACAUGGCUCCCUUUUGAUACAUUUGUCAAGCUGCUAGAAGUUUCCUGAGACUGGAGAAAAUGGUUGGGAGCAACUUUCAUGACUAAGAUUCUUCUGGCUCCUGACUCACUCCACCAGAUCAACCAAAACAGUUGCACCCAUCAAUGCUUACCCGGAAAGGGGACCUGGCCGCAUCAAGGGGUCCUGCUGCUGGGAUCCUCAUUGAUCACAGGAACAGGGUUGCAAUUCCCCUGAUUGAGUGGACCAGCAGAUCAAGUAUUUGCUACUCUGUUUACUGUCUAUUGGAUUGCCAAUCAUCAUUCCAGUGAAUACGCCUGCUUGUCCUGCCAUUCUAUUCCUUCAGCGGAGGAAGCAAGAAACUGUGAACCAGUUUAUCCUUUAAGUUUUGUCCCCUCCUAUAUGUCACACUGGGAUAUGGUGAUAACACGGGUCUUAG